GAUGAACGCUAGCGGCAGGCCUAACACAUGCAAGUCGAGGGGUAGCAGGAUUAAGCUUGUUUAAUUGCUGACGACCGGCGCACGGGUGCGUAACGCGUAUGCAACCUACCUUAUACUGGGGUAUAGCCCGGAGAAAUUCGGAUUAAUCCCCCAUAGUACUAAUGCAUCGCAUGGUUUAUUAGUUAAAGCAUUGCGGUAUAAGAUGGGCAUGCGUCCUAUUAGCUAGAUGGUGAGGUAACGGCUCACCAUGGCUACGAUAGGUAGGGGGCCUGAGAGGGUGGUCCCCCACACUGGUACUGAGACACGGACCAGACUCCUACGGGAGGCAGCAGUGAGGAAUAUUGGUCAAUGGGCGCAAGCCUGAACCAGCCAUGCCGCGUGCAGGAAGAAUGCCCUAUGGGUUGUAAACUGCUUUUAUCUGGGAAUAAACCUCUUUACGUGUAGAGAGCUGAAGGUACCAAAUGAAUAAGCACCGGCUAACUCCGUGCCAGCAGCCGCCGUAA
rnacentral:rRNA from 1 species